rnacentral:rRNA from 1 species
UACAGGGGGUGCAACGUUGCUCGGAAUCAUUGGGCGUAAAGCGCACGUAGGCGGUUCGUUAUGUCGGAUGUGAAAGCCCUUGGCUUAACCGAGGAAGUGCAUCCGAAACUGGCGAGCUAGAGUACGAAAGAGGAUCGCGGAAUUCCCGGUGUAGAGGUGAAAUUCGUAGAUAUCGGGAGGAACACCGGUGGCGAAGGCGGCGAUCUGGGUCGAUACUGACGCUGAGGUGCGAAAGCGUGGGGAGCAAACAGG